rnacentral:hammerhead_ribozyme from 1 species
AUCCAGCCGAUGAGUCCCCAACGGGACGAAACGUGCUUCCUGGAU